rnacentral:rRNA from 1 species
AGGAUGAACGCUGGCGGCGUGCCUAAGACAUGCAAGUCGAGUGGGUUUAGACCCACGGCGAACGGGUGAGUAAUACCUAGGAACUUUCUUUAAGUGGAGCAUAACCCAUAGAAAUGUGGGACAAUUCUCCAUGUGAUAGUAAUAUCAAAGCAGCAAUGCGCUUAAAGUGAGGCCUGGGCACCAUCAGCUAGUUGGUAAGGUAAUGGCUUACCAAGGCUAUGACGGUUAGGGGUCCCGAGAGGGAUAACCCCCACACUGGAACUGCGACACGGUCCAGACUCCUACGGGAGGCAGCAGUUUGGAAUUUUGGACAAUGGGCGAAAGCCUGAUCCAGCGACGCCGCGUGGACGAUGAAGGCCUUCGGGUCGUAAAGUCCUUUUGCUCGGGAACAAUAAUUUGAGCGUACCGAGAGAAUAAGAGGUUGCUAACUCUGCGCCAGCAGCCGC